ACACGUGCGUGGAGCAUGCGCAGUCAGGCACAGUCCGCUAUAUAAGAGGGUGCUCGCGAAUAGUCGCUCCCUUUUUCGUUCCGUUCGCUGAGGGUAUCGGUCCACCAAGCAGGCGCGGGCAACAUGUGCUGGAGACCUGGGCUGGUAGAGCAAGGCCAGGGGCGGCCCCAGGAUAGAACCAGCAGGAAGCACCGGUGCUCUGGUUAUGAACCCACUGUGUCCAUUCCCCCCUGCGACUCUCAUGGAGGAGGCAGCGGUCCAUGGCAGCAAGGUGGGAGCAACGUGAGCCUGGGAUACCUGGCUCACUGAGAAAGGUGCCAUGGUGACCUGAAGCAGACUUGGAAAAAGUGGUCACUGUCCUGGUUAACAAGCCAUUUGUGAGCCAUUAAUAGGGGAGAGUGGGACUAUUAUGUUGUCCAUAGACAUAGACUUGAGGAUCUUCUAAAGGUGAAGGAGUUGUCAAUGUCAGCAUGAAGCAGAAGUUGCCCUGUGAAGUAGCAGAAAUACUCUCCUGUUAAUAUUGGGAACAUUUGCCAAAGUGACAGCAAAAUAUCCCGAGUCUAGGCUGUUGUAUCCACAUUGCUCUGCAAUGACUUCAUGGUCAAGCUUCCCUCUUUCUGUGUGGAGUAAGAAAUACUGCAUGUCCUGCCUCCUUAAGAGAUGCCUAGGGGCUUUAGUAAUUUAUUGUCUUAAAUGUCACGAGCCAUUUCAUUGGAAGGGAUUGACCAUCUAUGGAUCUUGACGUCUUUUUAUGCAGUAACAUACUAUGUCAAGUGUUCUUGUGUCCAUGAUGGCUGUAUUCACCCCCUGCCAGCUGGGUUCAACCCACUGCUGUAAUGUGGAAGAUUAUGAUGUACUAAAAAUCAUUAAAAGUACUGAGGUAACUUCUUAAAUGGA